rnacentral:rRNA from 1 species
AGGACGAACGCUGGCGGCGUGCUUAACACAUGCAAGUCGAGCGGAAAGGCCUUUCGGGGUACUCGAGCGGCGAACGGGUGAGUAACACGUGAGUAAUCUGCCCAUCGCUUCAGGAUAGCCAUCGGAAACGGUGAUUAAUACUGGAUAUGACAUUCCUUCGCAUGUUGGGGUGUGGAAAGUUUUUUCGGCGGUGGAUGUGCUCGCGGCCUAUCAGCUUGUUGGUGGGGUAAUGGCCUACCAAGGCUUUGACGGGUAGCCGGCCUGAGAGGGUGACCGGCCACGACUGGGACUGAGACACGGCCCAGACUCCUACGGGAGCAGCAGUGGGGAAUAUUGGACAAUGGGACGGAAGCCUGAUCCAGCAACGCCGCGUGAGGAUGACGGCCUUCGGGUUGUAACCGUCUUCAGCACAGACGAAGUUUGUCUUUUUAGGUGUAAGUGACGGUAUGUGCAGAAGAAGGACCG